AGUGAACGCUGGCGGUAGGCCUAACACAUGCAAGUCGAACGGCAGCACAGAGGAGCUUGCUCCUUGGGUGGCGAAUGGCGGACGGGUGAGGAAUGCAUCGGAAUCUACUCUGUCGUGGGGGAUAACGUAGGGAAACUUACGCUAAUACCGCAUACGACCUACGGGUGAAAGCAGGGGAUCUUCGGACCUUGCGCGAUUGAAUGAGCCGAUGUCGGAUUAGCUAGUUGGCGGGGUAAAGGCCCACCAAGGCGACGAUCCGUAGCUGGUCUGAGAGGAUGAUCAGCCACACUGGAACUGAGACACGGUCCAGACUCCUACGGGAGGCAGCAGUGGGGAAUAUUGGACAAUGGGCGCAAGCCUGAUCCAGCCAUACCGCGUGGGUGAAGAAGGCCUUCGGGUUGUAAAGCCCUUUUGUUGGGAAAGAAAUCCAUCUGGUUAAUACCCGGGUGGGAUGACGGUACCCAAAGAAUAAGCACCGGCUAACUUCGUGCCAGCCGCCGCGGUAA
rnacentral:rRNA from 1 species